UAAACGUGGUCUGCCGUUGAGCAAAAUGUUAUCGUGUAGAACGCAAGUAUACAUCUAAUGGGGGGGGGAGGGUCCAGAAAGAGAAGAGCUAUUGAAAGGAAAUUUUAUUCAAAGAAACAAAGGCUGAGAAUUUUCCAGAAAAAAUGAAAAAUAAGAAUCACAAGCUAUGUAAAUAGAAAGAAAUCCAAACACAGGUAUGUGGUGAAUCUACAGACUCAAUGUUAAAGAGAAGUUCUUACAAGCAACGAAAGCCCCAGCUAUGGUGGCACAGCAGAAGUGCACUGCUCUGUAAUGUUGGAAGUAAUGUGGAAGACCACAGUUCAGUGCCCAGGUUGACCUCUACAGUGCUGGCUGGAUGUUCACGUGCCAAGAUCCUGGCUGCGGGAGAUCAUGCCACAAGACCCUGUUGAAGCAUCAAGGAACGACAUAUGCAAGCAACUGUUGAAAGAGACCAAAAGACAGGCCAAGUACGUUGGACUCCAAGUAUGAGCCAUCAUGCUGCCUUGUUGAGCAGAAAUUACCUCAGAAAUAGAUGAAGGCUCCCUACAACACUGGGAAAUUUGGCAUCAGUCCUUCCCUCAGGAAACCUGUUGGACUGUCCUGCGGGUCAGGACACGUGGCACCUGAACAGGGACCUGAGUAUGAAGGAUCCAGUGAAGAGCUCCCGAGGAAGGCUCCAGUGCAGAGCAACCGAGAAAAGCCAGCGGAAAACAGAAGGGGACAGCAGAGACUUGUCCAGAAGGGGACGGCAGAGAAUCGUCCCGAGAAAGGCUGGCGAAAAACAUAGGAUGAAGAGAAGACAUCCUGGACUAUGAGUUACAUCACCAGCUUCCCUGCCUCGGAGGCCUCCAGACUUGGCCCGAGCCAUGCUACCAGCAACCUGGGUCUCCACGUUGUAGACAUCCUAUUACGGUUCUUCUCAGCUGCCAUUACCACAUGAACCACU